rnacentral:rRNA from 1 species
UACGUAGGAUGCAAGCGGUGUCCGGAUUUAUUGGGAUUAAAGGGGGCGUCGGCGGCCUCUUAAGUUAGUGGUGAAAACGUUAGGCUUAAUCUGAUACCCGCCAUUGAUACUGAUAGACUUGAGUGCGACAGAGGGUGUUGGAAUGUGUGGUGUAGCGGUGAAAUGCUUAGAUAUCACGCAGAACACCAAUUGCGAAGGCAGAUGCCUAUGUCGUAACUGACGCUAAGGCACCAAAGCGUGGGGAGCAAACAGG